rnacentral:rRNA from 1 species
AACGAACGCUGGCGGCAUGCCUAACACAUGCAAGUCGAACGAAACCUUCCGGGCUAGUUGCGCUAGGGUACGUAACGCGGGGGAAGUUGCCCUUAGGUUCGGUAUAACUCCCUGAAAGGGGUGCUAAUACCGGUGAAUGUCUUCCGACCAAAGAGUUUUCGCUUUGGGAUGUGCCGGCGUGGGUUUAGCUGGUUGGUAGGGUAAAAGCCUACGAAGGCGAGGAGUCAUAGCUGGUCUGAGAGGAUGAUCAGCCACACUGGGGCUGAGACACGGCCCAGACUCCUGCGGAAGGGAGGAAUGGGGGAUAUUGGACGAUGGGCGGAGGGAUGAACGAGCAAUGCCGGGUGAGUGAUGUAGGCCUUAAGGUUGAAAAGCUCUUUUACCCGGGAUGAUAGUGACGGUACCUGGAGAAUAAGCACCGGCUAACUACGUG